rfam:Gossypium raimondii Chr05_contig_1072, whole genome shotgun sequence.
CAUGUCAGAGCGCUUUGCUGACGUGGCAACAAAUCGCCCCCUCGUGGACGCGAUUUGUUGUCACGUCAGCAAAGCGCGCUGACGUGG